CCUACGGGUGGCAGCAGUGGGGAAUAUUGGACAAUGGGCGAAAGCCUGAUCCAGCCAUGCCGCGUGUGUGAAGUAGGCCUUCGGGUUGUAAAGCACUUUCAGUGGGGAAGAAAGCCUUGGGGCUAAUACCCUCGAGGAAGGACAUCACCCACAGAAGAAGCACCGGCUAACUCCGUGCCAGCAGCCGCGGUAAUACGGAGGGUGCGAGCGUUAAUCGGAAUUACUGGGCGUAAAGCGCGCGUAGGCGGUCUGAUAAGCCGGUUGUGAAAUCCCCGGGCUCAACCUGGGAACGGCAUCCGGAACUGUCAGGCUAGAGUGCAGGAGAGGAAGGUAGAAUUCCCGGUGUAGCGGUGAAAUGCGUAGAGAUCGGGAGGAAUACCAGUGGCGAAGGCGGCCUUCUGGACUGACACUGACGCUGAGGUGCGAAAGCGUGGGUAGCAAACAGGAUUAGAUACCCCUGUAGUC
rnacentral:rRNA from 1 species